rnacentral:misc_RNA from 1 species
AACGCACAUUGCGCCCCUUGGUAUUCCAUGGGGCAUGCCUGUUCGAGCGUCAUUUCAACCCUCAAGCUCUGCUUGGUGUUGGGCGUUUGUCCCGCCGUCGCGCGCGGACUCGCCUCAAAUGCAUUGGCAGCCAGCGCUCUUUUCCGCCUCCGCCCGCAGCACAUUGCACGAGGAGGAGCGGGGAGUGCGGCGUCCACAAGACCUUUUAUCGUCUUGACCUCGGAUCAGGUAGGGAUACCCGCUGAACUUAA